AAAAAAAAAAAUACAAACCCUAGGAAGCAACCGCUCAUCACCUCAGUCCCCUGUACUAACUCCCAGGUAAUGAAAUAAAAAAAUACAAACCCUAGGAAGCAACCGCUCAUCACCUCAGUCCCCUGUACUAACUCCCAGGUAAUGAAAUAACAAAAUACAAACCCUAGGAAGCAAGAGCUCCACCCUCAGUCCCCUGUACUAACUCCCAGGUAAUGAAAUAAAAAAAUACAAACCCUAGGAAGCAACCGCUCAUCACCUCAGUCCCCUGUACUAACUCCCAGGUAAUGAAAUAAAAAAAUACAAACCCUAGGAAGCAACCGCUCAUCACCUCAGUCCCCUGUACUAACUCCCAGGUAAUGAAAUAACAAAAUACAAACCCUAGGAAGCAAGAGCUCCACCCUCAGUCCCCUGUACUAACUCCCAGGUAAUGAAAUAAAAAAAUACAAACCCUAGGAAGCACCAGCUCCACCCUCAGUCCCCUGUACUAACUCCCAGGUAAUGAAAUAACAAAAUACAAACCCUAGGAAGCACCAGCUCCACCCUCAGUCCCCUGUACUAACUCCCAGGUAAUGAAAUAAAAAAAUACAAACCCUAGGAAGCAACCGCUCAUCACCUCAGUCCCCUGUACUAACUCCCAGGUAAUGAAAUAACAAAAUACAAACCCUAGGAAGCAACCGCUCAUCACCUCAGUCCCCUGUACUAACUCCCAGGUAAUGAAAUAAAAAAAUACAAACCCUAGGAAGCAAGAGCUCCACCCUCAGUCCCCUGUACUAACUCCCAGGUAAUGAAAUAAAAAAAUACAAACCCUAGGAAGCAACCGCUCAUCACCUCAGUCCCCUGUACUAACUCCCAGGCUAAUUAAAUAAAAAAAAUACAAACCCUAGGAAGCAAGAGCUUGUCCCCUCAGUCCCCUGUACUAACUCCCAGGUAAUGAAAUAAAAAAAUACAAACCCUAGGAAGCAACCGCUCAUCACCUCAGUCCCCUGUACUAACUCCCAGGUAAUGAAAUAAAAAAAUACAAACCCUAGGAAGCACCAGCUCCACCCUCAGUCCCCUGUACUAACUCCCAGGUAAUGAAAUAACAAAAUACAAACCCUAGGAAGCACCAGCUCCACCCUCAGUCCCCUGUACUAACUCCCAGGUAAUGAAAUAACAAAAUACAAACCCUAGGAAGCACCAGCUCCACCCUCAGUCCCAUGUACUAACUCCCAGGUAAUGAAAUAAAAAAAUACAAACCCUAGGAAGCAACCGCUCAUCACCUCAGUCCCCUGUACUAACUCCCAGGUAAUGAAAUAACAAAAUACAAACCCUAGGAAGCAACCGCUCAUCACCUCAGUCCCCUGUACUAACUCCCAGGUAAUGAAAUAACAAAAUACAAACCCUAGGAAGCACCAGCUCCACCCUCAGUCCCCUGUACUAACUCCCAGGUAAUGAAAUAACAAAAUACAAACCCUAGGAAGCACCAGCUCCACCCUCAGUCCCCUGUACUAACUCCCAGGUAAUGAAAUAAAAAAAUACAAACCCUAGGAAGUAACAUCUCAUCCCCUCAGUCCCCUGUACUAACUCCCAGGUAAUGAAAUAAAAAAAUACAAACCCUAGGAAGCAACCGCUCAUCCCUCAGUCCCCUGUACUAACUCCCAGGUAAUGAAAUAAAAAAAUACAAACCCUAGGAAGCAACCGCUCAUCCCCUCAGUCCCC